rnacentral:misc_RNA from 1 species
CAGAGUUCAUGCCCUUCGGGGUAGAUCUCCCACCCUGUGUAUUACUACUUUGUUGCUUUGGCGGGCCGUUAGGCUUCGGCUUAGCUACCGGCUUCGGCUGGUAAGCGCCCGCCAGAGGAUAUCAAACUCUGAAUUUUAAUGUCGUCUGAGUACUAUAUAAUAGUUA